CCCUUAGAUGUCCCGGGCUGCACGCGCGCUACACUGACACAAGCAACAUGUACUCCUCACCCGAAAGGGUCGGGAAAUCCUUGUAAACUGUGUCGUGAUGGGGAUAGAUUUUUGCAAUUGUGAACCUUCAACGAGGAAUUCCUAGUAAGUGCAAGUCAUCAACUUGCGCUGAUUACGUCCCUGCCCUUUGUACACACCGCCCGUCGCUCCUACCGAUUGAGUGUUCCGGUGAAUAAUCUGGAUCGCGAUUACUGUACUUGUACCUUGAUUGCGAGAAAUUUAGUGAACCUUAUCACUUAGAGGAAGGAGAAGUCGUAACA
rnacentral:rRNA from 1 species